ensembl:lncRNA
UGGGGUUGGGGUGGCCACAGCUGGGGUUGGGGUGGCCACAGCUGGGGUUGGGGUGGCCACAGCUGGGGUUGGGGUGGCCACAGCUGGGGUUGGGGUGGUCAUGGUCGGGUUUAGAAUGGCCAUGGCCGGGUGUGAGGUGGUCAUGGUUGGGUUUGGUUGGUCAUGGUUGGGUUUAGAAUGAGCGUGGCUGGGUUUGGGGUGGUCACACUUUCACAGGUGGGUUUGGGGUGGUCACGGGUGGGUUUGGGGUGGUGACAGUUGGGUUUGAGGUGGUCACAGUGGGGUUUGGGGUGGUCACAGGUGGGUUUGGGGUGGCCACAGAUGCACAGGUGGGUUUGGGGUGGUCACAGUUGGGUUUGAGGUGGUCACAGGUGGGUUUGGGGUGGUCACAGUUGGGUUUGAGGUGGUCACAGGUGGGUUUGGGGUGGUCACAGUUGGGUUUGAGGUGGUCACAGGUGGGUUUGGGGUGGUCACAGUUGGGUUUGAGGUGGUCACAGGUGGGUUUGGGGUGGUCACGGGUGGGUUUGGGGUGGUGACAGUUGGGUUUGAGGUGGUCACAGUGGGGUUUGGGGUGGUCACAGGUGGGUUUGGGGUGGUCACAGGUGGGGUUGAGGUGGUCAUGGAGGGGUUUGGGGUGGCCACAGGUGGGUUUGGGGUGGUCAAGGAUGGGUUUGGAGCAGUCAUGGUCAGGUUUAGAAUGGCCAUGGCCGGGUGUGAGGUGGUCACAGGUGGGUUUGGGGUGGUCACUGUUGGGUUUGGGUUGGUCACAGGUGGGUUUGGGAUGGUCACAGGUGGGUUUGGGGUGGCCACAGGUGGGUUUGGGAUGGUCACAGGUGGGUUUGGCGUGGCCACAGGUGGGUUUGGGGUGGUUAAGGUUGGGCUGGAGAGGUCUGGGGGACAGCUGGUGGCACUUGGGGACAGACACAGGUGGGUUUGGGGACAGUCCCUAUGAUGCCUCCAGGUUUGGGGACAGUCUCUAUAAUGUCCUCAGGGUUGGGGACAGUCCCCAUGAUGUCCCCAGGGUCUGGGGACAGGCCCAUGAUGUCCCCAGGGUUAAGGACAGUCUCUAUGAUGUCCCCAGGGUUGGGGACAGCCCCCAUGAUGUCCCCAGGGUUUGAGGACAGCCCCUAUGAUGUCCCCAGGGUUUGGGGCCAGUCCCCAGGGUUUGAGGACAGCCCCUAUGAUGUCCCCAGGGUUAAGGACAGUCUCUAUGACGUCCCCAGGGUUAAGGACAGUCUCUAUGAUGUCCCCAGGGUUGGGGACAGCCCCUGGAUGUCCCCAGGUACCGUGAUGACGUCCAGGAUGCUCAGCAGGCUGUGCACGCUGUCCCCAGGGAACACCUCCUUCAUCACCGUCUCCUUCCCGUCCUGCCAGGACACGCCCGCGUCACCUGGGGUCACCUGGGGUCACCUGAGUGCCCCCUGAGUGCCCAAGAGUGUCCCCUGGCUCUCCCCUGAGUGUCCCCAGCUGUCCCCAGUGUCCCCAAUACCCCCAGAGUCCCCAAUGUCCCCUGUCUCUCCCAGUGUCCCCAACAUCCCCAGUGUCCCCAAGUGUCCCCAGUAUCCCCAAUGUUCCCAGUGUCCCCAAGUGUCCCUAAUGUCCCCAGCCAUCCCCCAAUGUCCCCAGUGUCCCCAGCCAUGCCCAAU